UUGCGAAUCAUGGCAUGGUCCAAGGGGUUCUUUGCUCUCUGUGGCUCCGUUGUGGCAGUCGGGCUUUUAGGCAACGCUAUAAUCUGCACAGAGAUUAGUCGAAACGCGCUAAAAAGAUGGAUCGCUAUGAACGAGCGAGUUCUCAUAGGAAGAGGCGUGGAUAUCGCUGAGUUUAGCAAAUGAACCCGACUACUUCUGGCUUGAUGUAAUUAUAACUACAUAAAUGUUGUGAGGAUAUCUCAUGGCUUAGUUCUGUUUUGUACCUUAAUUUUAUGGGAAUGCUGUGUAAGACAGUAAACUUGUCUGGAUAAGUAUCAAAAUCUAUCUGAUGUUUGGUUGAAUUUUUUUU